GUGGCAGACAAUUUUUUACCCGACGUGUUCUCCCUGGAUUGUUUGUUAAAUUGUUAGGUAAACAACAACUGGGUUAUCACUGUGUGAUUCUCUGGAUAUCCUUGGAAUGAAAGUUUUACAAUCAUACUAUCAUUAGGAGUUCUCUUGGAGGAGGUAGGAAAUUGAUAUUCGUAUUAAUAAUGGAAAAUGAAUUGGCCACAAUUGGGUAAUUCUCUUCCGUAAUUGCUGUUACAACUCGUCACGAACGACAUCAUUACCAGAGAACCAUGUGAAAAGCGUGAUCACAUAAAGUCCAUUACCAUUUUAAUGAUGUUUUAACACCUUCGCCUUAGCAGAGGAGGAACUCAUCUCUCCCUCGCUGAUCAUUUACACACAAGCGAGGCAGCCAUGCGCGACACCUUACAACAAGGCCGAGUUACUAGGGAGGAGAUUUUGAGCCAUAUAGGCAAGCAGUGUUAAGCGGUUUAAAACAGGAGGAUCAUUGCUUCCUGAGACUGUCCAUGUAUGCUUAUGGGUAUGUGUACAAAUUGAUCUAGGAGAGAACAUGUGGUGGUAACUCGCAUAUGAAGGUUGUACAGG